ACGGAAGGCAGCAGUGGGGAAUAUUGCACAAUGGGCGCAAGCCUGAUGCAGCGAUGCCGCGUGAGGGAAGAAGGUUUUCGGAUUGUAAACCUCUGUCAACAGGGACGAAAAUGACGGUACCUGUGAAGGAAGCUCCGGCUAACUACGUGCCAGCAGCCGCGGUAAUACGUAGGGAGCAAGCGUUAUCCGGAAUUACUGGGUGUAAAGGGAGUGUAGGCGGGACUGUAAGUCAGAUGUGAAAUAUGCCGGCUCAACUGGCAGACUGCAUUUGAAACUGCGGUUCUUGAGUGAAGUAGAGGUAAGCGGAAUUCCUAGUGUAGCGGUGAAAUGCGUAGAUAUUAGGAGGAACAUCAGUGGCGAAGGCGACUUGCUGGACGACAACUGACGCUGAGGCGCGAAAGCGUGGGGAGCAAACAGGAUUAGAUACCCUGGUA
rnacentral:rRNA from 1 species